CAGGCUCAGAGGCGGGUUGCUUGUGGAGGACCCCCUGGCGUGCCAGAAGGCUGCCAGAACUGCUGUGAUUGCUCUGCUAGAGGCAGGUUCAGAGUCCCAGGAACACAGAAGGGAGGAACCUCCUCUGAUUCAGGGAGUGAGACGUGGGGGAGAGCACGCGGAGAGGAUGGCGCGUGAGCUGGCUCUGAGAGGAUGCGUACGACUAGGAGUUGAGAACGAGGGACAGAGAAGGAGAGACGACGACCUGAGCAAAGGCCGAGGAGCCCAGGGAUGCUUGUGUGCAGCGAGCAGAGGGUCCUGAGGAGCUGGAUUACUGACCUGGGAGAGUUGGAUUUGUCUGACUGUUAGGGUGUCAAGCCACCAACAAGGACCCUUAAUGUUUCUGUUCACUGCUUCAGAUAACUAUCUCAUUCACUGUCACGACAGCCAACACUUAACACACACCUGACGCUGACUACCGCUUGUUCAAUGACAGAGAUGUUCCUACAGUGCUGAGAAGAAACCUGCCCUGAAGGAUUAACCACGAGUCUGGAGGGUACACUGAUGAAGGCAGGGUAAGGUGGGAUUCCUAUACUCUGUUGGUAGAGGGUUGGAG
ensembl:lncRNA